rnacentral:rRNA from 1 species
AGACACGUGGAUAACCUACCUAUAAGACUGGGAUAACUUCGGGAAACCGGAGCUAAUACCGGAUAAUAUAUUGAACCGCAUGGUUCAAUAGUGAAAGACGGUUUUGCUGUCACUUAUAGAUGGAUCCGCGCCGCAUUAGCUAGUUGGUAAGGUAACGGCUUACCAAGGCAACGAUGCGUAGCCGACCUGAGAGGGUGAUCGGCCACACUGGAACUGAGACACGGUCCAG